rnacentral:rRNA from 1 species
AGCAGCCGCGGUAAUUCCAGCUCCAAUAGCGUAUAUUAAAGUUGUUGCAGUUAAAAAGCUCGUAGUUGAAUUUCGGGAUCAAUACGUCGGUCGUGCUUCGGUACGCACUGGCGUCAUUGAUUUCUCCCUUCUGACGAACCAUGAUGUCAUUAACUUGGUGUCAUGGGAAAUCAGGACUGUUACUUUGAAAAAAUUAGAGUGUUUAAAGCAGGCUCACGCUUGAAUACAUUAGCAUGGAAUAAUGAAAUAGGACGUUCGAUCCUAUUUUGUUGGUUUUAGGAUCAACGUAAUGAUUAAUAGGGAUAGUUGGGGGCAUUAGUAUUCAAUUGUCAGAGGUGAAAUUCUUGGAUUUAUUGAAGACUAACUACUGCGAAAGCAUUUGCCAAGGAUGUUUUCAUUAAUCAAGAACGAAAGUUAGGGGAUCGAAGACGAUCAGAUACCGUCGUAGUCUUAACCAUAAACUAUGCCGACUAGGGAUCGGAUGAUGUUAAUUUUUUAAUGACUCAUUCGGCGCCUUACG